UACGUAGGGUGCGAGCGUUAAUCGGAAUCACUGGGCGUAAAGCGCACGUAGGCGGCUUCUUAAGUCAGGGGUGAAAUCCUGGAGCUCAACUCCAGAACUGCCUUUGAUACUGAGGAGCUUGAGUCCGGGAGAGGUGAGUGGAACUGCGAGUGUAGAGGUGAAAUUCGUAGAUAUUCGCAAGAACACCAGUGGCGAAGGCGGCUCACUGGCCCGGUACUAACGCUGAGGUGCGAAAGCGUGGGGAGCAAACAGG
rnacentral:rRNA from 1 species